rnacentral:rRNA from 1 species
AUGCCGAGCGACGGUGGUGGUAGCCGCCGACGCAGGCCUGCUGCCCCUGGCGACCCUCGCCGCCUUCCUCUGCUCAGAGCCAACGAUGGUAGUUUUGUAGCGCACCUCCGCAAAGGUCCUGACCCGCAAUCGCUAUCUUCCUCCGCCCACGCGACAACACAGUGGGGUUUCUCUGGUGAUCUCAAGUCCGCCGCCGCAGAAGCAGCUGUAGCACAAGCUCACCGAGGUCUUCGACGCGAGGCAGUUGACCCUCAGCUCCAACAGCGACAGCAACGCUAUGAAGUGAUUUUCAUCACAGCUAGGUUGCAGGAACUUUUUGUGGUUGAUGUGAUGCUAAUUGAUCAGUUUUCAUGGCCGAGUGCUGGCUCCUCGCCCGUGCCGCCACAACAGCAGUCGAGGCCGCCUCCAUCUGUGUUGUACCCAUCAUCGUCGAGCUGCUCGUCCGCACUGCCAUCACAUGUCGCCGCUGUGGGCUCCUCGGAUCCCCUCGAUGUUAUUACUUCACCUCCGAUGUGGGACUGGCCGUCGUUCUCUCCUACGAUGUACGUGGCGGCGUCACCCAAUUUGGAGUCACAACAAAAGGCUUGGGAAUGGAGCUGCACGAGGAGCGUUUGGGCCAUGGAGGUUUAA